rnacentral:lncRNA from 1 species
UUUCACUUCUCUCCCUGUUUUAAAAAACGUUACAGCAGUAUUUUAAUCUAGAUGCUUGCUAUGUAUUAAGUACAUUUUAUCAACUGAAAUAGCACUAACAAUAAAAAUCCUUGGUGAUAGCAUGUUGUUUUGCUGCUUCUUGCAGGGCGAAGAAGGCGGCAUGAGCGACCCCUGAAUGUGCAUUUGGGCAUAUUUAGCCAUUUGGUUUUGAUUAGGAGAAAGAAGACGGCCAUCCCUGUGAAAGGUAAAAAAAAAAAAAAAAAAAAAGAAAAAUUAUAUGCAGCUUUUUACUAUUAGAAUUU